rnacentral:tRNA from 1 species
GUCAGGGCACGAACGUGCCGCAAGUGCCCGCAGCUUCCCAAGCUGAGAGUGCGAGUUCGAUUCUCGUCACCGACA